CGCGCCCUCCCGCCCCGGGCCUCGCGGGCUGUCCGAGCUGUGUUUCGUCUCAAUAAAGCCGAAACCCCAAGAAGGAAAGAGCUUUGGUUUGAGAAGGAGGCUUAACUGCGUGCGGCCGUACUCUGGCAUCGCGUUCUGUUGGACAGAGAACCCAGGACUGUCAGACGGCGAAGGGUUAGGAAGUGCGCGCAGCCUCGCCGACCCCUGCCCCGUCCGAGAGCCGGAGCUGUUGUCGAUCGAGGGCCCGGCCGUUGCGCCCGGGGCGCGCGGGCCUCGCAGAGUCGCGACGAGUCCCUGCGCCUCCUCCCAGACGCGGCGCCACCGAGAGACAGACCACCGGCUCCCGCUUCAUUUCAGGGGCUGACGAGGGGAAAACACUGCUGCGCCCCUGGCCGAAGGAGGUAAACCCAAGUAGAAAGGGCGAUCAAAAAUUAAUUUGGUGCACUGUUCGGGAGCAGCUCCCUGUCAAAACUCUACGGAGACGUUGGCACAAGCGGCAAACGGAUUCACAGACAAAGGAAAACAAUACAAGUCUCGUUAGAUCAUUUUUCUGGACAUUAUUUAAGGUCUGAAAGGGACCAAAUCGUUUCAAAAUGUUGCCAGUAAAAAUUAUCCUAUGUGGAAUGCAACUAAUCCUUUUAGGUUCCUGUCAACUGUUUCCACAAAAGGAAUCCGAUUUUUCAAAUCAAAGAUCCAAAAGUCUUUGGGGAGAGAUUUAUUACAUGCCAGAGCUUUAGUUACAGAAUAGAGUUACAAUAACAACUCGCACCCACCAACUCCCCAAAAUAAGGGAUCCCGUCCCA
ensembl:lncRNA